rnacentral:rRNA from 1 species
GACGAACGCUGGCGGCGUGCUUAACACAUGCAAGUCGAACGCUGAUGGCCCAGCUUGCUGGGUGGAUGAGUGACGAACGGGUGAGUAACACGUGAGUAACCUGCCCUCUUCUUUGGGAUAACGGUCGGAAACGGCUGCUAAUACCGGGUAUUCACUGUCCUUCGCAUGGGGGGUGGUGGAAAGGUUUUUUCUGGUGGGGGAUGGGCUCGCGGCCUAUCAGCUUGUUGGUGGGGUGAUGGCUUACCAAGGCUUUGACGGGUAACCGGCCUGAGAGGGUGACCGGUCACAUUGGGACUGAGAUACGGCCCAGACUCCUACGGGAGGCAGCAGUGGGGAAUAUUGCACAAUGGGCGAAAGCCUGAUGCAGCGACGCCGCAUGAGGGAUGGAGGCCUUCGGGUUGUAAACCUCUUUCGCUCAUGGUCAAGCCGCAACAGUGGUUGUGGUGAGGGUAGUGGGUAAAGAAGCACCGGCUAACUACGUGCCAGCAGCCGCGGUAAUACGUAGGGUGCGAGCGUUGUCCGGAAUUAUUGGGCGUAAAGGGCUUGUAGGCGGUUUGUCGCGUCUGCCGUGAAAUCCUCUGGCUUAACUGGGGGCGUGCGGUGGGUACGGGCAGGCUUGAGUGCGGUAGGGGAGACUGGAACUCCUGGUGUAGCGGUGGAAUGCGCAGAUAUCAGGAAGAACACCGGUGGCGAAGGCGGGUCUCUGGGCCGUUACUGACGCUGAGGAGCGAAAGCGUGGGGAGCGAACAGG